rnacentral:tRNA from 2 species
AAAGCCUUAGCUUAAGUAAAGUGUCUGAUUUGCAUUCAGUAGAUGUGGGUUAGUGUCCCGCAGGUUUUA